rnacentral:rRNA from 1 species
UUCAGACGAUGCGUCAUGCAUAUCAAUAAGGCGGAGGAAAAGAAACUAACAAGGAUUCCCUCAGUAACGGCGAGUGAAGCGGGAAGAGCUCAAAUUUGAAAUCUUGAAAAGGUCACCUUUCACGAAUUGUAGUUUAAAGAAGUGUUUUCUGUUACGAUCGUAAUAUAAGUUCUUUGGAAUAGGACAUCACAGAGGGUGAGAAUCCCGUCUAUGAUUGCGAUUUGUAGCUUUGUGAUACACUUUCAAAGAGUCGGGUUGUUUGGGAAUGCAGCCCAAAACGGGAGGUAAAUUUCUUCUAAGGCUAAAUAUUGGCGAGAGGACCGAUAGCGAACAAGUACCGUGAGGGAGAGAUGAAAAGAACUUUGAAAAGAGAGUUAAAUAGUACGUGAAAUUGUCAAAAGGGAAGCGUUUGACACCAGUGUUGUUUUCUCGAAAAUCAAUUAAAAAUGGCUCGAUUUUGUAUUGCUUGAGACCUUAAAAGCUCACUGUACACUUUUUCGUGUCUUUUUUAAUGCACUUUUCGUUUAACAAGUCAACAUCAGUUUCUUUUGUUGUAAAAGGGUCAUUGGAAGGUGGCUUUCUUUUCGGAGAAAGUGUUUAUAGCCUUUGGCCUCUGCAUAUCGGAGAGACUGAGGUCUGCAGCGUAGACUCUUCGGGGUUAGAUACAUUUGUGCUAAGUUAUAGCUUUUUAUAGACAACUUGUUGACUAUAAUUAGUCUUGUAGCUUACUCGCUUAUGCUAUUUUACCUACGCUUAGGAUGUUGACUGAUAUGUAGUCGUA